GGUUCCUUCAGCGUGAAGCUGGCGUCGGAGGUCGUAAAGUGCCGUUCGUUUCCGUUCUCUUUUUUCGUAAAGCACUGUUUCCGGAGACGGGCAAUUAUUAAACGAGUGUUUCGUGGGGUGCGUGCGGAGAAAUCGAGCGACCGACCGGUCUCGAGAUCAGGGUUUCUUUCGCGAGAGCGAGGGAGGAAUUCGAUCGUCCAUCGAGAGCUCUCCCGUGUGGGUCGGAAAUGGCGAUCUGAAGAUGACGGUUCCGUCGUGUCUGCUUUGCUGCUGAGGUUUUCUUGAGCGCCAUGGAGGAGGGUUACACUAGUCUUCCCGCCAGUCACUUGCUCGGCUCCGUUCCGGCUGUGAUUGCUGAAGACAAGACGACAAGCAUCGCUAGUGAAGCGGCAUCAACUGCAAACUUGCAUUUGUUUCCACCAUCUAAUGGAGGCUAUCAGGCUCCUGGCACUCCUAGUGGUGCUGAUGAACAAACGACAUCUAGUUGGCAAGGAGUAUUUAGCAUUUCGUCAUAUAGUUCAUACUUCAAUGUUGAUACUGAUGUUGUGGUGGAGAGAAUCAUCAGUUCAGUGUACCCUAUGAAUGACUUCUACAGGAAGAUUGAUGGUAAUCCUGAUCUAUAUGGUCCUAUUUGGAUAUCAGCUACGUUGAUGUUCAUGCUUGCUGCUCUUGGAAAUUUUGGCACUUACCUGAUGAAAAAAAGAAACGAUUCAAGUACCACAUGGACAUUUGAUGUGACUUAUGUAGAGUGGUCAGCAUGUGCAAUAUUUGGCUAUAUGCUUGCUGUACCUGCUGCAUUUUACUUCUUGCUCCAGUAUUUUGGAUUUAGAACAAGCCUCGUACGUCUCUGGUGCAUGUGGGGUUAUUCUUUGUUCAUCUUUAUGCCCAUUUGUUUGUUGCUGGUUGUUCCUGUUGAGCUUUUCCGGUGGAUCAUCAUACUCCUCGCUGGCAUUGCUUCAUCUUGGUUCAUUGCUGUGAACCUGAAAGCUUAUACUCAAUCUAGUGAUCUGAUGAUGUUAAUUGUUGGCGCUAUGGUAUUGCAGUUUGCUUUAGCUCUUUUCAUCAAGAUGUUCUUCUUCCCAUAAGUCUGUCAACAAGGAUUUUCCUGUGUGCAACCUCUGUUAUUUGCUUUUAUAGUCACAGGUUUGCCUGAAGAAGCACUAUAUUGGUUGAUGAAUUCAAACUCUUCUAAGUUAUCACCGGUGGUCUUGAAGAUGCACUUGUUUGCUUGAACCACAGAACACCUUGGCAUGGAAGCAACAUGAUGUAUCUGUUUGACAAAUCAGUUCGCCGUGAGGAAACAUCAAGCUUCUGUAUUAUGAUCAGUCGUCGUAUCAGAGAUGCUGUGAACUUUUUCUCUCUACAUGAAGUAAGUCCUUUUGCUUGUUUUCUUCUGCUGGGUGAUGUGACGAGCAUUUUAGGAUCCUACACUCUGCUACUAGGCUAUUGAGAUUUUUUUUUUCCCUCUUUUGAGAGUGUUACUAUGGGUAUACAAAUGGAUGUUACCUUUUAGAAGACGGUUGACGGAUUGAUAUAUAGUUCAUCGUGAUCAUAUUUUUGCCCUA